rnacentral:rRNA from 1 species
GGUUAAGCGACUAAGCGUACACGGUGGAUGCCCUGGCAGUCAGAGGCGAUGAAGGACGUGCUAAUCUGCGAAAAGCGUCGGUAAGGUGAUAUGAACCGUUAUAGCCGGCGAUGUCCGAAUGGGGAAACCCAGUGCAAUUCGUUGCACUAUCGUUAACUGAAUACAUAGGUUAACGAGGCGAACCGGGGGAACUGAAACAUCUAAGUACCCCGAGGAAAAGAAAUCAACCGAGAUUCCCCCAGUAGCGGCGAGCGAACGGGGAGCAGCCCGGAGUCUGAAUCAGCUUGUGUGUUAGUGGAAGCGUCUGGAAAGUCGCAGGGUACAGGGUGAUACUCCCGUACACUAAAGCACACAGGUUGUGAACUCGAAGAGUAGGGCGGGACACGUGGUAUCCUGUCUGAAUAUGGGGGGACCAUCCUCCAAGGCUAAAUACUCCUGACUGACCGAUAGUGAACCAGUACCGUGAGGGAAAGGCGAAAAGAACCCCGGCGAGGGGAGUGAAAAAGAACCUGAAACCGUGUACGUACAAGCAGUAGGAGCCCACUUGUUGGGUGACUGCGUACCUUUUGUAUAAUGGGUCAGCGACUUAUAUUCUGUAGCAAGGUUAACCGUAUAGGGGAGCCGCAGGGAAACCGAGUCUUAACUGGGCGUUAAGUUGCAGGGUAUAGACCCGAAACCCGGUGAUCUAGCCAUGGGCAGGUUGAAGGUUGGGUAACACUAACUGGAGGACCGAACCGACUAAUGUUGAAAAAUUAGCGGAUGACUUGUGGCUGGGGGUGAAAGGCCAAUCAAACCGGGAGAUAGCUGGUUCUCCCCGAAAGCUAUUUAGGUAGCGCCUCGUGAAUUCAUCUUCGGGGGUAGAGCACUGUUUCGGCUAGGGGGUCAUCCCGACUUACCAACCCGAUGCAAACUACGAAUACCGAAGAAUGUUAUCACGGGAGACACACGGCGGGUGCUAACGUCCGUCGUGAAGAGGGAAACAACCCAGACCGCCAGCUAAGGUCCCAAAGUCAUGGUUAAGUGGGAAACGAUGUGGGAAGGCCCAGACAGCCAGGAUGUUGGCUUAGAAGCAGCCAUCAUUUAAAGAAAGCGUAAUAGCUCACUGGUCGAGUCGGCCUGCGCGGAAGAUGUAACGGGGCUAAACCAUGCACCGAAGCUGCGGCAGCGACACUAUGUGUUGUUGGGUAGGGGAGCGUUCUGUAAGCCGUUGAAGGUGGCCUGUGAGGGUUGCUGGAGGUAUCAGAAGUGCGAAUGCUGACAUAAGUAACGAUAAUGCGGGUGAAAAACCCGCACGCCGGAAGACCAAGGGUUCCUGUCCAACGUUAAUCGGGGCAGGGUGAGUCGACCCCUAAGGCGAGGCCGAAAGGCGUAGUCGAUGGGAAACAGGUUAAUAUUCCUGUACUCGGUGUUACUGCGAAGGGGGGACGGAGAAGGCUAUGUUGGCCGGGCGACGGUUGUCCCGGUUUAAGCAUGUAGGCGGAUGUUCCAGGUAAAUCCGGAACGUUAUUAACGCUGAGGUGUGAUGACGAGGCACUACGGUGCUGAAGUGACAAAUGCCCUGCUUCCAGGAAAAGCCUCUAAGCAUCAGGUAACAUCAAAUCGUACCCCAAACCGACACAGGUGGUCAGGUAGAGAAUACCAAGGCGCUUGAGAGAACUCGGGUGAAGGAACUAGGCAAAAUGGUGCCGUAACUUCGGGAGAAGGCACGCUGAUGGUAGGUGAAGCGACUUGCUCGUGGAGCUGAAAUCAGUCGAAGAUACCAGCUGGCUGCAACUGUUUAUUAAAAACACAGCACUGUGCAAACACGAAAGUGGACGUAUACGGUGUGACGCCUGCCCGGUGCCGGAAGGUUAAUUGAUGGGGUUAUCCGUAAGGAGAAGCUCUUGAUCGAAGCCCCGGUAAACGGCGGCCGUAACUAUAACGGUCCUAAGGUAGCGAAAUUCCUUGUCGGGUAAGUUCCGACCUGCACGAAUGGCGUAAUGAUGGCCAGGCUGUCUCCACCCGAGACUCAGUGAAAUUGAACUCGCUGUGAAGAUGCAGUGUACCCGCGGCAAGACGGAAAGACCCCGUGAACCUUUACUAUAGCUUGACACUGAACACUGGUCCUUGAUGUGUAGGAUAGGUGGGAGGCUUUGAAGUGUGGACGCCAGUCUGCAUGGAGCCAUCCUUGAAAUACCACCCUUUAAUGGCUGGUGUUCUAACGUGGGCCCCUAAUCGGGGUUGCGGACAGUGUCUGGUGGGUAGUUUGACUGGGGCGGUCUCCUCCUAAAGAGUAACGGAGGAGCACGAAGGUCAGCUAAUCCUGGUCGGACAUCAGGAGGUUAGUGCAAUGGCAUAAGCUGGCUUGACUGCGAGCGUGACGGCGCGAGCAGGUGCGAAAGCAGGUCAUAGUGAUCCGGUGGUUCUGAAUGGAAGGGCCAUCGCUCAACGGAUAAAAGGUACUCCGGGGAUAACAGGCUGAUACCGCCCAAGAGUUCAUAUCGACGGCGGUGUUUGGCACCUCGAUGUCGGCUCAUCACAUCCUGGGGCUGAAGUAGGUCCCAAGGGUAUGGCUGUUCGCCAUUUAAAGUGGUACGCGAGCUGGGUUUAGAACGUCGUGAGACAGUUCGGUCCCUAUCUGCCGUGGGCGCUGGAGAAUUGAGGGGGGCUGCUCCUAGUACGAGAGGACCGGAGUGGACGCAUCACUGGUGUUCGGGUUGUCAUGCCAAUGGCAUUGCCCGGUAGCUAAAUGCGGAAGAGAUAAGUGCUGAAAGCAUCUAAGCACGAAACUUGCCCCGAGAUGAGUUCUCCCUGACUCCUUGAGAGUCCUGAAGGAACGUUGAAGACGACGACGUUGAUAGGCCGGGUGUGUAAGCGCAGCGAUGCGUUGAGCUAACCGGUACUAAUGAACCGUGAGGCUUAACCUU